UUCUCACUUUUUACCGAGAAGCGGUCGCCUUUUUUACCAGAGUCGCUUUUAAUGGUAGAAGCGCCGACCCUCCGCUCGGCUUCGCUUCUCGCUUAAAGCGAGGAAGCGGUCGUUUUUCUUAUCACUGCUACAAACUGGCAUGAUGUUUACUUUCUGUAGCUGUUGAAACUAGUGAAACUUCAUCGGUUGUGUGCCUACAGCUCUUGGGUGUUGAAUUAUAGGAACGUUGAUAAGGAUCAGGUCAAAGCAGCAAUAAAAGCUCAACAGGAUCAGCAAAUUGAUAUUGCACUUCUAGUGGAAGGACGCUUUUAUUCUGAUCUUGAGCUCACCGAAAAGGAGAUUGAACGCAUGGUAAUGGAAGCUUCUAGGGCCGAGUAUAUUGCCAAUGACAAAUUCAGGCAGCAGCUUGGUUGUCGAGAAUCUUCCAAUUCUAGCGCUGAACCAUCAUCUUCAGGAGCUAGUAAGUUCGAGCCGGCACUCCAUUGGGGAAUUGGCAUUCAUGAACAAUACAUGAUUCUUUUGUUUGUUCUUCUAUUGUGAUAGCAUCAACUGGUUAUGGUCUUGCAGGGUCAUCGGGAAGUGGAGCGAAGCAAGAAGGUGGGGGCGAAAAGUUCUUAGUGACUGCAUCCAGAUUAUGCUGUCGAUGGGAUUUAGUUAUGCACGAGUAAUAGAGGCUUAUAGCAUAUUCGGGGAUGAUGUGGAUUCAAUGGUGUUAUCUCCUUGAAACCAGCAAUAGCAGCAGACGUAAAGGAAAAGCAACUGAAUGAGGAAAAACAAGAAAGAGUUGCAAUGAGAUUCUAGUUUCUAUUUUCUCUCUCUAUUAGUAUAACUAUAGCUUUGUCUCUGGAACCUCGAACGUACUAUUUUGCAGCCUUAAAUCUACCAUCGAAGUGUUUCGUAAAGCUUGAUCUUCUUCCUUUGCAUCUCUAUGAAACAAUUUCUGUUUAGAACAUACUGUUUUACACGGAAGGGUACUCUGAUACUAACCUGUUUUCCCAAUUGAAAAAAUAAAACCUUCUGGAAUGAAUAUAUACGUCGUUAUGGUA